rnacentral:rRNA from 1 species
AUUGAACGCUGGCGGCAUGCCUUACACAUGCAAGUCGAACGGCAGCACGGGAGCAAUCCUGGUGGCGAGUGGCGAACGGGUGAGUAAUGCAUCGGAACGUGCCAUUGAGUGGGGGAUAACGUAGCGAAAGUUACGCUAAUACCGCAUACGAUCUACGGAUGAAAGCGGGGGAUCGCAAGACCUCGCGCGAAUGGAGCGGCCGAUGUCAGAUUAGGUAGUUGGUGGGGUAAAGGCUCACCAAGCCAACGAUCUGUAGCUGGUCUGAGAGGACGACCAGCCACACUGGAACUGAGACACGGUCCAGACUCCUACGGGAGGCAGCAGUGGGGAAUUUUGGACAAUGGGCGCAAGCCUGAUCCAGCCAUUCCGCGUGCAGGAUGAAGGCCU